UACGGAGGGUGCAAGCGUUAUCCGGAUUCACUGGGUUUAAAGGGUGCGUAGGUGGGAAUGUAAGUCAGUGGUGAAAUCUCCGUGCUUAACACGGAAACUGCCAUUGAUACUAUGUUUCUUGAAUUUUCCGGAGGUCAGCGGAAUAUGUCAUGUAGCGGUGAAAUGCUUAGAUAUGACAUAGAACACCAAUUGCGAAGGCAGCUGACUACAGGGAUAUUGACACUGAGGCACAAAAGCGUGGGGAUCAAACAGG
rnacentral:rRNA from 1 species